AGCGAACGCUGGCGGCAGGCUUAACACAUGCCAGUCGAGCGGGCACUUCGGUGUCAGCGGCAGACGGGUGAGUAACACGUGGGAACGUACCCUUUGGUUCGGAAUAACGCUGGGAAACUAGCGCUAAUACCGGAUACGCCCUUUUGGGGAAAGGCUUGCUGCCGAAGGAUCGGCCCGCGUCUGAUCAGCUAGUUGGUGGGGUAAUGGCCUACCAAGGCGACGAUCAGUAGCUGGUCUGAGAGGAUGAUCAGCCACACUGGGACUGAGACACGGCCCAGACUCCUACGGGAGGCAGCAGUGGGGAAUAUUGGACAAUGGGCGCAAGCCUGAUCCAGCCAUGCCGCGUGAGUGAUGAAGGCCUUAGGGUUGUAAAGCUCUUUUGUCCGGGACGAUAAUGACGGUACCGGAAGAAUAAGCCCCGGCUAACUUCGUG
rnacentral:rRNA from 1 species